AACGAACGCUGGCGGCAUGCCUAACACAUGCAAGUCGAAUGAGACCUUCGGGUCUAGUGGCGCACGGGUGCGUAACGCGUGGGAACCUGCCCUUAGGUUCGGAAUAACUCCCCGAAAGGGGUGCUAAUACCGGAUAAUGUCUUCGGACCAAAGAUUUAUCGCCUUUGGAUGGGCCCGCGUUGGAUUAGCUAGUUGGUAGGGUAAAAGCCUACCAAGGCGACGAUCCAUAGCUGGUCUGAGAGGAUGAUCAGCCACACUGGGACUGAGACACGGCCCAGACUCCUACGGGAGGCAGCAGUAGGGAAUAUUGGGCAAUGGGCGAAAGCCUGAUCCAGCAAUGCCGCGUGAGUGAUGAAGGCCUUAGGGUUGUAAAGCUCUUUUACCCGGGAUGAUAAUGACAGUACCGGGAGAAUAAGCUCCGGCUAACUCCGUG
rnacentral:rRNA from 1 species